CGCAACUCUUGUUCUCGUUUGAUCAAGCAAUGAAAGUUGAGAAAACUCUCAUGUAAACUCUCGCUUGUCAACUCUCAUGCAACUCUUGUUCUCGUUUGAUCAAGCAAUGAAAGUUGAGAAAAAUCUCAUGUAAACUCUCGUUUGUCAACUCUCAUGCAACUCUUGUUCUCGUUUGAUCAAGCAAUGAAAGUUGAGAAAACUCUCAUGUAAACUCUCGCUUGUCAACUCUCAUGCAACUCUUGUUCUCGUUUGAUCAAGCAAUGAAAGUUGAGAAAACUCUCAUGUAAACUCUCGUUUGUCAACUCCCACGCAAC